rnacentral:rRNA from 1 species
AUUGAACGCUGGCGGCAGGCCUAACACAUGCAAGUCGAGCGAGUGGCGGACGGGUGAGUAAUGUCUGGGGAUCCGCCCGAUAGAGGGGGAUAACUACUGGACACGGUGGCUAAUACCGCAUACCAUCGGAUGUACCCAUAUGGGAUUAGCUUGUAGGUGGGGUAAAGGCUCACCUAGGCGACGAUCCCUAGCUGGUCUGAGAGGAUGAUCAGCCACACUGGAACUGAGACACGGUCCAGACUCCUACGGGAGGCAGCAGUGGGGAAUAUUGCACAAUGGGCGCAAGCCUGAUGCAGCCAUGCCGCGUGUAUGAAGAAGGCCUUCGGGUUGUAAAGUACUUUCAGUGGGGAGGCGUUACCCGCAGAAGAAGCACCGGCUAACUCCGUGCCAGCAGCCGCGGUAAUAC